AGUGAACGCUGGCGGUAGGCCUAACACAUGCAAGUCGAACGGCAGCACAGUAAGAGCUUGCUCUUACGGGUGGCGAGUGGCGGACGGGUGAGGAAUACAUCGGAAUCUACUUUUUCGUGGGGGAUAACGUAGGGAAACUUACGCUAAUACCGCAUACGACCUACGGGUGAAAGCAGGGGAUCUUCGGACCUUGCGCGAUUGAAUGAGCCGAUGUCGGAUUAGCUAGUUGGCGGGGUAAAGGCCCACCAAGGCGACGAUCCGUAGCUGGUCUGAGAGGAUGAUCAGCCACACUGGAACUGAGACACGGUCCAGACUCCUACGGGAGGCAGCAGUGGGGAAUAUUGGACAAUGGGCGCAAGCCUGAUCCAGCCAUACCGCAUGGGUGAAGAAGGCCUUCGGGUUGUAAAGCCCUUUUGUUGGGAAAGAAAAGCAGCUGGUUAAUACCCCGCUGUUCUGACGGUACCCAAAGAAUAAGCACCGGCUAACUUCGUG
rnacentral:rRNA from 1 species